CUCUUAUCCAGAGAGGCAGAGGGACCGGCCCGAUGAAGCCUCGACAACCUGGUUUAGUCAAGUAGUCAACUGGUCGAAUGGUCAAGUGGUUGCUGACCACAUGACGACGAGACCGUCAGACCACAAGACUGACACCAAGGUGCCAAUUCCGGCAGUGUAGGGGUAAUCCCGCGUGAUUACCCGGUUCUGGAAGAUGAGAG
rnacentral:ncRNA from 2 species